GAGCAAUGACGGAUUUCUGCGCUCACCGUGAUUGGUUGGGUCCAUCACAGCCCGUCUGAUUGUGCGGACGACAAGAUGCGUAUCUGAGCUC
rnacentral:snoRNA from 2 species